AUAUAUUACUGCCUUUUGGAGAACAGCCGGCCGUACUCCAGACAGAGACAAAGACGUGAGGACAUCUAUUGCUUUUAAGUCAUGUACCACACUUUGUCAACAAUGCAUGUUGUUCCUGCAAUCUGGAUGAAGAAUAAUAUAUUACUGCCUCUUGGGAAAGCAGCAGACUGUACUCCAGACAGAGACAAAGACAUGAGGACAUCCAUUGCUUUUAAGUCCUAUACCAGACUAUGUUGUUCCAGCUGUCUGGGUAAAGACUGAUACAUUACUGCCUCUUGGAGAACAGCAAACCAUUCUCCAGACAGAGACAAAGACAUGGACAUCAAAACAGAAAAUUAAGUACUUGAUCUUGGAUUGUUUGGAGUGAACGCUGGAAAAUAAUGAAGCAGGAAAUUAAAAUGCUUGACUAAAACAAUUUUUGUACUUGGCAAGUGCUUUAUUUAAUUGGCUGUAAGAAGUCCUUUGUGUGCACAGACAUGACUGGAGAUUAAAGUUACUAAAUGUUGCUUUUUUUCUAGCUGGUGACAUAACAUGGUAUUAUUUUCAAAUGUAUUUAUCUAAUACACAUUUGCACAUCUGUAAACAUUCAUUUUAUAUAGGAUGUUUUUUAUAUUUAACCAGUUGUUGUAUAUUGCUUUCUGUUAUUACAUCUGUUUUUUUUGCCUGUUUAUUGUUUAAAACAAUUAAGUUAAUGUUUCUCUGUUAGCUUUUGUUACUUUGGCUAUUUCUUUGCUUUUAUUUGAUCCUUCUACUGUUAUUUGUUUAUUUGGCAGAACAUUUGACAUUUCAUUUAUUUUGCUGUUAUCUGAAAUUAUCCUUGUCACCAUCAAUAAAACUCUAUAUUUGCUUUA